AAAAUUGUGUAUCUGGUGAUGAACAUUAUAACUGGUUUUAUAUUUGCUCCUGUGGCGUGUGUUGUAUCUCUAGCUGUUGCAUAUCUGAGACGAGAUAUUGAUAAUGACACCCAUACUUUGAUCUGGUUGUUACCUAUAGCUUCAGGUGUACUAAGUCUGUUUCUACUAAUGGUUGCUGUUCUAGCGUCCAUUAUCUGCUGCUGCUGCUCAAGUACAAAUCCGUCUCAGGUUGAUGUAUUGGUAAACAAGAAAGAUUUAGAGGGAGUGACCUCCUUCCCUUCUUCUAGUUCUUUUGACCAAUUAGACCAAGCGGAAUCGCUAACCAUCGUCGAUUACGAGGGGUUGACGGGC